rnacentral:rRNA from 1 species
UACGUAGGGUGCAAGCGUUAAUCGGAAUUACUGGGCGUAAAGCGUGCGCAGGCGGUUUUGUAAGUCUGAUGUGAAAUCCCCGGGCUCAACCUGGGAAUUGCAUUGGAGACUGCAAGGCUAGAAUCUGGCAGAGGGGGGUAGAAUUCCACGUGUAGCAGUGAAAUGCGUAGAGAUGUGGAGGAACACCGAUGGCGAGGGCAGCCCCCUGGGUCAAGAUUGACGCUCAUGCACGAAAGCGUGGGGAGCAAACAGG